GACGAACGCUGGCGGCGUGCCUAAUACAUGCAAGUCGAACGCAGUGGGGACGGGUGAGUAACACGUGGGUAACCUCCCAUCAGAGGGGAUAACACUUGGAAACAGGUGCUAAACCGAUACUGAUGGAUGGACCCGCGGUGCAUUAGCUAGUUGGUGAGGUAACGGCUCACCAAGGCCACGAUGCAUAGCCGACCUGAGAGGGUGAUCGGCCACACUGGGACGGAGACACAGCCGAGACGCCUACGAUAGUCAGCAGGACGGCAUCUUCAGCAAUGGCCGAAAGUCUGAACAAGCGAAGCCGCGUCGGGGAAGAGGGUUUUAAGGUAGUAAAACACUGUUGUUAGAGAAGCGGUAUCUAUCCAGAAAGCCACGGCUAACUACGUGCCAGCAGCCGCGGUAAUUC
rnacentral:rRNA from 1 species